UACGUAGGAGGCGAGCGUUGUCCGGAGUUACUGGGCGUAAAGGGUGCGCAGGCGGUGGCCCGCGUGGGCGGUGAAAGCUCCUGGCUCAACUGGGAGAGGGCCGUCCAGACGGGGUCACUUGAGGGGCGGAGAGGGGCGUGGAAUUCCGGGUGGAGCGGUGAAAUGCGUAGAGAUCCGGAAGAACACCGGUGGCGAAGGCGGCCUGCUGGGCAGUAGCUGACGCUGAGGCGCGACAGCGUGGGGAGCAAACAGG
rnacentral:rRNA from 1 species